UCUUGUUUCUGCUAAAGAAGAGAAUCCUGGGAGCAGCUGUAGCCAUAAUCAUAUUUUCUCACAUGGAAGGAUGUGAAACCACCAGAGAUACUAAUAAUAUCCAAGAAAGGAGCUAGUAUCAGGAUUUCUCAAAAUUAAAGAUCCUGUUUUUAUCCCCAAAGAACAAAUUUUGCUGAUGAAGAAAUCAGGGUUUUAAAAAUGGUGAUGUAUCGGAGCAGAGAUAAAUGUGGAGCCAGUCGCUGUUCGAAAGAAGAAGCAGCUCGUGUUCGUGAAGAAGCGGAGAGGAUCCGGCAGGAACGAGAGAAGCAUUUCCAGAGAGAAGAACAGGAGCGCCUCGAGAGGAAGAAGCGACUUGAGGAGAUUAUGAAAAGAACCAGGAAAACAGAAGCUACAGAUAAGAAAACAACUGAUCAAAGAAAUGGUGAUAUAGCCAAGGGAGCUGUCACUGGAGGAACAGAGGUAUCUGUACUUCCACGUGUGACAAACUCCCCAGGAAAUGAAGAGCCAGUGACCAGCUCACGUGUGGUUGCCUCACACCAAUCAAAAGUGACCGUGGAGAGCACUCCCAAUUUGGAAAAACAACCAAAUGAAAAUGGAGUAUCUGCUCAGAAUGAAAAUUUUGAAGAAAUUAUAAACUUGCCCAUUGGAUCUAAAGCAUCCAGGUUAGAUGUCACCAACAGUGAGAGCCCAGAAAUUCCUUUGAAUCCAAUUUUGGCCUUUGAUGAUGAAGGGACACUUGGGCCCCUGCCUCAGGUAGAUGGUGUUCAAACCCAACAAACCGCAGAAGUGAUAUCAGCAUUUCUUCUGAAGAACCAAAGCUGUUAAGGAGCAUCUCCCCUCCUCCAGUUUUCUAAAGAUGUCUUGACCCUCGUUUUAAAAAGAAUUUAUCAAAACCAGCUGAAGACAACAGACUGGGGAGCUUUUCUAAUAAUUUUCAUCAACGGAAAGAAAGAAAUGCUCCUCAUUUUCCAAUCCUUUAAAACAGCUUUUUCUGGUGUGCUCCUUCUUAGCAAAUCAAUAUUUUUCUGCAUUCUUUAAAAGACAGGAGCAUUUAACGACUAUAAAAGAAAUGGGCUGACUAGGCAUGAUUUUUUUCAGAUAGAUAUUUUGGUCUUAAGCUUAACAUAUAAAAUUGGCAAAAAAAAAUUACCUUUGACAAUACAAUACUUGAAAAAUAAGUACCUCUUUGCUCUACAAGUAGAAUGAAUAGGGGAGGUAUUUGAGCCUGUUUUGUUUAAAUAUUAUUGCAAAGAGUUCUAUUUGUAGAAGCAAGUUAUAGGCAGAUUACCAAGUUCUUAUAAAUGCAACUUGUACAUGGACAUUCUGCAAACCCAGCUGUCACAGUCUUCUUGCAAUUCCUUUUGCAAACAUAUACUAAAGAGUUUUAAAAUGUGAAAAGACAUUGUUUUUCAGAGCAAGGAAAUAAUUUACUGUCCUCUUAAAUAAUGUAUUUAUAAAGCUUUUCCAGACAAACUAAUCAAAUAAAUUAGAACAAUGUGACGACAUUGCAAAUUUGAUUUCUUAGAUGCAUUCCUGCUAAUGUUACCAUAAGAGAAUGUUGCUGAUGAUUCAGGGCUAUUUCUGACAUCUGUAUGUUGCUGCUGUCCCCAGUGAUGGUGGAACUUAUCUUUGCCUUACCUGAUCACAAAUUAUGUGUGUGUGUGGGGGGGGGGGAAAUAAAGAUUUAAUAUUUCUUUAAAUAAAAAAAGAAUUUGGUUUUGCUCGUUUAAGAGCAAUGAAAAAAUGAUGGAAUGUUGACUGUGUUUGGUGCACAGGACACGGACCUUCAUAGAAGUCCUCUUUCUGCAAAGCAUCCAUCAGCUCUUCACCUUUCAUUCUUGUUCUCCACUUUUGCUGCUGAGCCUAGCUGUACAAACUUGCACUUUCAUUUGCUAAUAUAAAUUCAAUUUUCUUUUGCCAUUUUAGAGACUACUAAUGAUUACAUAUAGAAGAUGGAACACAUGUUUUUAUGUGGAUUGUUUAAAAAGAUAAAUUUAUACCAUUAUAAUGUGUUGGUUUCAUUAAAAGAAGGAUUGGUUAAUCUGAUAGAUUGAAUGAGAGAUACUCAUCUAUUGGACUAUUUUUUUAAAAUCCAAGCAUAUGGUCUUUAGUAAGAGCUUGUAAUUUGUUAAAACAUUAAUUUGGGCCUUUUCUCUAUUCUCAGUUGUCCAUGUACACAGUCAUUAUAUUAAAAAAAAUGUUCGACAAAGUUGUUUUAUUUGUGUAAAAUCAACCUAGCAUGAAACAUCAAAUAAAAUGUUUGACAUA